rnacentral:rRNA from 1 species
UGGGGAAUUUUGGACAAUGGGCGAAAGCCUGAUCCAGCCAUGCCGCGUGAGUGAAGAAGGCCUUCGGGUUGUAAAGCUCUUUCAGCCGGAAAGAAAUCGCGCAGGAUAAUACUCUGCGUGGAUGACGGUACCGGAAGAAGAAGCACCGGCUAACUACGUGCCAGCAGCCGCGGUAAUACGUAGGGUGCGAGCGUUAAUCGGAAUUACUGGGCGUAAAGCGUGCGCAGGCGGUUAUAUAAGACAGAUGUGAAAUCCCCGGGCUCAACCUGGGACCUGCAUUUGUGACUGUAUAGCUAGAGUACGGUAGAGGGGGAUGGAAUUCCGCGUGUAGCAGUGAAAUGCGUAGAUAUGCGGAGGAACACCAGUGGCGAAGGCGGCGAUCUGGGUCGAUACUGACGCUGAGGUGCGAAAGCGUGGGGAGCAAACA